GAUGAAGAACGCAGCGAAAUGCGAUAAGUAAUGUGAAUUGCAGAAUUCAGUGAAUCAUCGAAUCUUUGAACGCACAUUGCGCCCCUUGGUAUUCCGAGGGGCAUGCCUGUUCGAGCGUCAUUAUAACCCCUCAAGCUCAGCUUGGUGUUGUGGCCUGCCGCACGGGCAGCCCUUAAAAUCAGUGGCGGUGCCAUCUGGCUCUAAGCGUAGUAAUUCUUCUCGCUAUAGAGUCCCGGUGGAUGCUUGCCAUUAACCCCCAAUUUUCUAUGGUUGACCUCGGAUCAGGUAGGGAUACCCGCUGAACUUAAGCAUAUCAAUAAGCGGAGGA
rnacentral:misc_RNA from 1 species